rnacentral:rRNA from 1 species
GAUGAACGCUGGCGGCGUGCCUAAUACAUGCAAGUCGAGCGAACAGACGAGGAGCUUGCUCCUCUGACGUUAGCGGCGGACGGGUGAGUAACACGUGGAUAACCUACCUAUAAGACUGGGAUAACUUCGGGAAACCGGAGCUAAUACCGGAUAACAUGUUGAACCGCAUGGUUCAACAGUGAAAGACGGUCUUGCUGUCACUUAUAGAUGGAUCCGCGCCGCAUUAGCUAGUUGGUAAGGUAACGGCUUACCAAGGCAACGAUGCGUAGCCGACCUGAGAGGGUGAUCGGCCACACUGGAACUGAGACACGGUCCAGACUCCUACGGGAGGCAGCAGUAGGGAAUCUUCCGCAAUGGGCGAAAGCCUGACGGAGCAACGCCGCGUGAGUGAAGAAGGUCUUCGGAUCGUAAAACUCUGUUAUUAGGGAAGAACAAAUGUGUAAGCAACUAUGCACGUCUUGACGGUACCUAAUCAGAAAGCCACGGCUAACUACGUG